UUCUUCAGGAUCAGUUUUCUGGCUAUUUGCACCAAUAAGCAACAAAAUCCAGCACAGACACCCAGUAAAAGUCAAUCCAAGCUUGACAAAACUUGGCUGGGACCUUCCAGAAAAACCCAUUUUUCAAAAAUCACCAAACACCUUCAAUGCUUAAUUCACACCUGAUAUAAUGAUCAAGAAAAAUAAAAUUCAAAAUUAACCCAACGCUAAUAAUUGGGAAAGCAUAAAAAGUCAAGGAUUGAACUAAACCAAACACCUUGAGAUAGCUGAAAGAACUAAGAGAAUUUCAAAACGCAAAAGUAAACGACUUAUUAUAUUCUUUAACAAAAGGGUGAUAACAACUCACGACGAAAGUAAACUAAUAAUAAACAAAUAUGAAGAAAAACAUGUCUGCAAUUACUGUCAGGAAAAAAUAAUGAAUACAAGAUAAAUAUGCUUAUGGAAUAAUUACAGGAGACAGGAGUUUCUGCAGGUUUUUUGAAUUUCUGGGUCGCCAUUAAAUUUCUGCGAGAGAAGAAAUUUGGGUUGACCGAGUCGCCGUUGAAGGGUUAAGUAGAUGAACUGACGGGUGAAUAUUGGUAAGACAAUAAUGCAAGUAGCGGCCAUCUUUUUCAAAAUCUGAUGUUUGGACUGUAAAAUAUUGAAUUCAAUUACACAUAAAUCAGGUCAUUAAUGGCUUGCAGAAUUUUUAUUUUUGUUUAUUCAAUUUGAAAAGAAUUGCUAACAGCCAUUGAUUUAUAAUAAUGAGAUAAUGAUUAUACUGAUAAUCUAUACAUGAUUACACAUGAGACAAGAGUAAAUUUCACAGUGGUACCCAACGUUUGAACUCUUC
rnacentral:lncRNA from 1 species